AUUUUUAACUGAAUAUUUACGAAAGCUGAAAGCGUGCGAGGGGGGUGGGGUGGAAAUAGCGGCUGCUUCUUUUCCAAGGAUUUAUUUAAUGGGGAUGUGUUCAAGGCAAGACCGAAUUCAGAAGGAUAUCGACGUCGUGAUCCAGAAGUCCAGAGCUGAGGACUGCCUGUUUGCAGAUUUCAGGUACUCAGACUCCACCUUUACUUUUACCUAUGUUGGCGGCCCCAGAAGGACAACUGUGCAGACUACAAAGCUUCGGAAAACCGGAGAGGCUGAGUCGACUAAUCGUGUUGUUGCACGUUAGAAACGCUUGCAUUGCCUGACUCUGAAACCAGAAGGGCGGCCGAAUGGCCUUCACCCUCCAUUAACCCUCGCCUCCUUCAGAAGCCAGUGCCUCUGGAAAUGCCUGGAUCUGCGACCCCAGCCUGAGCCUAGUAGGGCCCAAGGGAAGCUGAACGCCCCGACGGCUCUCAUGGGCACCGGCAACAGUUUUCCGUUUGUGCCUACUCCACCUGCUGUCUUUGUUGGGUCAGCGAACAUCGCCUCCCUCUACCGCUCAAUCAGCAAAAGGGACCGCCCUUGAGGACCUCACCCGCGGCUCACUCCCCUCCCAACUUCGCGGGCAUCGCCUCCGGUCGCCUCUUCCGAAGGCCUAACGAGCAUGUUAGCUGCGAACGGAGGUGAGGAGGCUCCGCUGACUGACCGGUGCCCAUGUCCAGGGCACGCACAAACGCCAUGACUUGGCUUGGCCUCUCUCUUAGUUAUUCACAAGCUCAGCCCGAUAGGCACCUCUGGGGCGGCGACGGCAAAGAGGGUGCGCUUAUUAAGUGCAGCUCCACGGGGACUGGCCUCUGCACGGCUGUGUACACCUGAGCGAGACGCUCAGUCGCUCUCUAAAGCCGCUUCUGCGGAUGACAGACACGGAGAUAAACGUGAGAGGUGGCCCACCACGACUUGCCCUCCUUUGCCCGGGUUUGCCCCUCGCUGCGGAGGCUGUUCUACAUCUGGCCCUUGGAGCAGGCCGGCUGACAGCGUGGUAAAGGAAGAUUUCUGCGGGAGGGCGGCCAGUGCAAAACAAUUCCCUGACCGGGAAUCGAACCCGGGCCGUGGCGCUUUCAGCACCGAAUCCUAGCCACUAGAC
rnacentral:lncRNA from 1 species